rnacentral:rRNA from 1 species
AUUGAACGCUGGCGGCAUGCCUUACACAUGCAAGUCGAACGGCAGCACGGACUUCGGUCUGGUGGCGAGUGGCGAACGGGUGAGUAAAGUAUCGGAACGUACCUUUCAGUGGGGGAUAACGUAGCGAAAGUUACGCUAAUACCGCAUAUUCUGUGAGCAGGAAAGCAGGGGAUCGCAAGACCUUGCGCUGAUUGAGCGGCCGAUAUUAGAUUAGCUAGUUGGUGAGGUAAAGGCUCACCAAGGCGACGAUCUGUAGCGGGUCUGAGAGGAUGAUCCGCCACACUGGAACUGAGACACGGUCCAGACUCCUACGGGAGGCAGCAGUGGGGAAUUUUGGACAAUGGGGGCAACCCUGAUCCAGCCAUGCCGCGUGAGUGAAGAAGGCCUUCGGGUUGUAAAGCUCUUUCGGCCGGGAAGAAAUCGUAUCAGCUAAUACCUGGUGCGGAUGACGGUACCGGCAUAAGAAGCACCGGCUAAUUACGUGCCAGCAGCCGCGGUAAUAC